ACGCCACGGGGCCAGGCAGUUGAGGGCAGCUAGGGUGUCAGACUUGCCCAGAGGGACGUGGGCUGCAGCAAGUGGAAAGAGAAUCAUAGCAGCACUGGCUUUGCAGCCACACGGACCAAAGUUCAAAUCCCAGUAACUCACGCUCUGGCAGUGUGAUCUUGAGUAUCACGAACACCUCUGAGCCUCGGUGUCCUCAUGAAAUGGGGAGAAGAGUUGAGGUUCUCGUAGUGAUCAGCGAGCUGAUGUCUGUGCAGGCCUAGCACAGGGACUGGCACACAGGGACUCUGAUCAGGGGAGGGAAAGCAGUGAGAGAGCAUAGCUUCCCAGAGAGCUCUGAAGGGGUCGGGGGACCAAAGGGGAAAGAAAAUCACAAGCUCUCUUUGGGACUACCUGUAGGGUGAGCCAGGUUUCAUGAGCAAGGAAAACCUCCACUUCAUUUCCAGUCUCUCCAUAAAGCCUGAUGUUCCUCCUUUUGUGUUCCUCUGGGUUAU
rnacentral:lncRNA from 1 species